UGUGCAGCCUCUUCCACAGCCGCAGGUUCUGGUUCUUCAGGAUCGUGAACAGCACCUUCCGGAACAGGUUCGCCGGCCCGCACGACCACCUGUGCUGCUGGAACCGGAACGCCUUGAACGUGCUCGGCAGCUCGUUCUUCACCUCCAGGUCGUGAAUGUACACAAACUUCCACCCGCACAGACUGGCGCGCACCGCCAGGUCCAUGUCCUCCACCGUCGUGCGAUCGUUCCACCCUCCUGCUUCCUCCAUGGCGCGGAUUCUCCACACACCCGCGGUGCCGUUGAACCCGAAGAAACCGUACGUCGCGGACCCCACCCUCUGCUCCACCGAGAAGUGGUAGUUCAGAGACACCUCUUGCAUCUUCGUCAUCAAGCACUCAUUCGCGUUCACUGCGCACAACCACCAUCACACCACCAUCAAAAUCACCGCCACACCAUCAACUCAGCGCACCCGUCACCCCGCACAUUCGCUACCUAUCAACCGUCACAGACUGCGAAUCGGCCAUUUCGAAGUGGCUCGAUACACAUGGGUCGAGUCCAGCAACAAAGACGGGCACCCAAGAGUUGCAGCGAGAAGAAGAGCAAAGAAUUCGAAAUGAUCACGGUCGGACUCAUCGACCACUCAACAGCUGGAAUUGCGCGAAAUUCUAAUUAAUUGUGCAUGCUUUGUGAUUAACCAUAAUGUACCAGGAAAAAGGUAAAACAAAAAACCAUCACUAUUGAUUACUGCUACCUUAAACGCCAGAGACAAGGACCCCGAUUCUGACACAAGGCCAGUAUAUUCACAAGUACGUGCCAAUUGGGUUCCUAGGUCUCAAUUGCUUUGGAACUUAGGGCCCACCAUGGAAGAUGGUUAAGGUUUUCCCUACAGUGUGAAACAGCAUUCGGGAUUCUAGAAGUGAAAUUGCACCAACAACCAAACGAAAGGAUAUGUCUGACUGUACGUAUAUCAUGAAAGAUUAAGGCACAGAGCGAAAUACGCUUUCAAAUAGGUAACAGUUGCAAAAGAGAUCCAGGAAGAAACAUCCUUCAACUAUCUAGAAAGAUUUCAGACAAGGCAGCACAACUGUGAAGGAUACGUUAACAGUACCGAGCACUACAGACUUCCGCAAUGUCAGAAGAGGUCAAAAAUUCCAUUCAGACUACCUUCAUAACACACACCAAUGAUGUUUCUGAACACCAAUGCCAGGCCAAAUUACUACCCAAGGAGAAGAAAUGAAAACAUCCAGAUAACACCGAGCAAAAUCAAAGACUUCGGGAUGCUAUCCAAACAAAUCAUAACAUCGAAGCAAGAAUGCCUGCAUGUAGGCAAACUUACCAAAUUUCCAUCGAGCUUGUACAAGUGCCAGAUUCGAAUUGUGCACCAGAAACGGCACUGUGCGCUGCAAAAACUCCGGCUCCGGCUGGAAGUCCGCGUCGAAGAUCGCCACGUAGUCGCAAGUCUGCACAUACGGAUGCCUCAUCCCCUGACGUAAUGCCCCCGCCUUAUAUCCCUUCCGGUUCGGUCGUGUCUCGUACUUUAUGUUGAUCCCCUUGCUCGCCCACCGCUGCACUUCUACUUGCACCAGCUCCUGGACCACACACACACACAUACACUCAGAAAACCCUCCCGUGCCUUCACGCACUGCAAACAAUCCCUCCCCACUUUCACCUUCACCCACCCUCCUACCACCCCACCAAAUACACUCAGCUCUAGCACAAGUUCCUCUACCCUGGUAGUCUGAUCCGUCGAGUCGUCCAGCACUUGAAUGAUCAUCCGGUCCUGCGGCCACGACAGCCCGCACGCCGCCUGUAUCGACAGUUGGUACACCUGUCACGCACCACCAUCUCACCAUUGUCAGCUCCUCCUCCACCAUCACCACCACCACCCUCCCCAAAAGUCACAUCCCACACAGCAUCCUGCAUCCCGCAUUCCCUACCUCUCGCUCGUUGAACAUCGGGAUCUGCACCAGAACCAUCGGGUACGACGAAUUCCCGAACUCCAAAUCAUCCUGGAUCGCCUCGAACUUGAACUGCGUCUCCGGAGUCCGCCUCAACAGCUUCACGAAUACCAUCACCCCGCACAUGAAUAUCCGCUCGACGAACAGCAUCGUCACCAUCACCAGGCACACGUUGAUCGCGAAUUGCAGCACCGGAGCCACCACCGGCCCCCGAACCUCCAGCCAUAUCUUCACCAGCUGAUCCACCAACAUCGGCAAUCCCCCCGUGCUCCCGCUCUCCGCCAUCGCGACUCACACCGCUCGCUCUCGCCGCACCCACACCCCCACCCGCACCGUCCCCAAUCUCACCGCCUCGGCCUAGCUGCGACUCAUCACCAUCCGCGAUGCCAAUGCACGCCUGCCGAUGACCCUCAGCCUAGCUCAGCCCACUCGUCAUCUCCUCCGCUUCAUGUGACCAAUCCGCAUGUCCUGCGAAUCCCUCUACCUUCUCUUCUCACCCCGGACUGCCCACCCCACCUCAACCUCCACCGCCACCUCGCACACUCGCGCACUCGAGACCUCUCAGCACUUCGCACCGUGCAGCGCACACCUCGCAGCUGCCCGUCCCUCGCCCUCGACACGCUCGUCGACCACAAUGAGCGAUGCUCCACGGCACUGAUAGACGAGGUAAUAAGCAGCGCCCAGGGGUCAAUGCGUGGUGGGGCCGGGCCUCAUAUAAUUAUACGCUUGUAUCAUUCAUGCAAGCCUUGCAAAGCAGCAGCGAGGGUGGGGACGAUCGAUGGACGGAGCGGCGACGGGCACGACCCGGACCCACUCAUAAUGCGGCAUGCCUGGCUCGGCCUGGCCUGCUGCUGCUGCUGCUGUGGUGGUGCUGCAUUAUUUGGAGGCGCUUCCGACUUCCCAGGGAACCAAAGCCAAAGCCAAAGCGAGCGACGAUGGGACAAGGGGGGGGAUUGCGUGGGCGCCGCGGUCAAACGCGCUUCAGCGCUGCUAACUGCCCAGGUUUACGACCUCUCUCGGCCUCCCUCCCUCUUGUUCCAAUCAUUCAUGCCUGCCCCCCGUUCUGCCCGUCCACCGGGGCGCUGCACACCGGCCGUCGCGGUCUGCCCGGGAUUGGAGCAUGGACAGGUCGUGUCUGUGGGUGCUGAGGCGAGGGAGGGCUUUGGUUGAAGCAACUGGAAACGAUGCUGCCUCCCAUGGUGGUGGGGCCCGCCACGUCCACGCUGGGCCUUCCUUCGUGUCUCCACUUUGAUAUUCUGCGGAGGUGCUGCUGCUGCUGCGAGUCUCACGGGCUGUUGGUUCCAGUUCCAGUUCCAGUUCCAAUUCCAGUUCCGUGGUGUGCCUCUGUGUCAAGACGCGGGGUCGGUGUUGGGUGCAGCCAGUCCCGUUGGACGAGCACUGCCCUGGUUCCGUCAAACUGUGAAGUGGGCUUUGACAACCAAGCGGGUGAGACUCGGUCUGCUUCAGGACCAUUGGAACAGCACACGACCCUGCGAGUGGAUUUUGAGCAUGGUGCACGAGUCCUGGGGAUUGCACACUUGUGGUGCUUUUCAAGAGUAUCUAUGGGCUGGACUGCUGUAUGUCUGGGAUGUUUUGAGAUUUUGUCCCACACAGUGGACCAGACAAAUUAGAAAUCUAGUCCCUUCAGGAUUGAACAUACAAUUUUGUUGAGUGAAGGACACCUCCAAUGAUUAUAACCUGGUUAAUGUGUUUGUUUUUUGGAUUUAUUGAUCCAGGGUGAUUUGUUACACUCACAAGGGUCUUGCUUGCCCCUCCCCCCGAAGCACAUCAUAAUUCAUCAUCAAUCCCACAUCUUGUUGCCAAAUGUUGUGCCAUACAAGUAUCCAGGUCACAUAAUCUUUUUCCUUUUGUGUUCUCACAUUGUGGCUUUUCAGUCACAAAGCAACUUUUUAACUUGCCACCAAUGAUAGACUUGCAUUUCUUUCAAGAUGAUUCUUAUUUCUUGUCUUACCGGACUUGUCGUGAAAGCUUUUCCUAGGAACCCAAUCAACUUUUCUGGACAUAGCACUCAGACUCUGUAGAGUAUGGAUUACGUCUUGGGAUUAGGCCACCAACAGAGACCCAGAAUCACUUUUACUUAUUUGGUAGUGUUUCAGACCUGGAUGUGUAAAUCAUUGUGGAUUUACAGGGUUGUGAGACUGAACAAUGAGGGGUUGGCUGCUGCAUUUCAAAACCUGUACCUACUUUGCAACGCCACAAGGUAUGUCAAUUUUAAUUAACAAGAAGUCCAAGUUCUGAUUUGUUCCUAGGAUUUGACAGUGAUACUGCUGCACACUGCUGGGCUAUGUGCUGCCACACUGACUCACCUGUCAUAUGGCAAGACUGAGCUCUAGUGCUUGAUGGUCCCCAUUGCUUGUUUCAUUUUCUUCACCUAGUGCAUGGGCAGCAUAUGGCAAGGAGUGUUUUUUCAGAGGAGCAAGAAUGGUACUAAAUUUUUAAAAAAUGAAUAAGUGAAUGGUGAUUGCAUUCCAGAGGGCACAUGUAGUAUGUUGAGAUUAAUUGGUAACAAAUGAGGUGGUCCAACAAAGCUUGUCUUACUAGCCAUUGUCUUUGUGUUUUUGCCACUGGAACACAUGGCAUUUGUUUCAUGUGUGAAUUUCAAUUUUCAGUUCCUUAGAUUGGGGAGGAUGAAAUUAAAUAUCUCAAUGCAGUGGUGCAAAUAAUGUUAUUUAUGGCUUGGUGCAUCUCAAUGGGACCGUAUAAUUGAGCCUAACUCUAGCAUGUGGUGUUGCUCAAGUAGAAGCCAUUGUCCAUUAAUCCAACAUAAUGGUCAAAGUUUGACAACUUUGAUACACUUGAUGUAACUUAGUGUAUCAAUUUUUAACAAAUUUCAUAUCAUCUAAUAUUGUAAUGUGUAUCUAUGUUAAGUAAAUAAAAGUAACUAGAAGUAUGUAGAAACAUAUUGGAAAUAUAACAUCUUUCUUAAGAAGUUUAGAUAAAAAAUUUUAAAUAAAAAUUAGAUAUUUAGAUGUUUAUAGAUGUUCUACAUUGCUUCUUUUUAAGAAUUUUUAUAAGAAGCAAUGUACAACUUAAUGCAUAGAUUGUAAGUCUUAAAAUUAACAAAACCUUUGUAAUUAAUAAGGCUCUUAUUAAUUAAUUUUGAUAUGGCUUAAAAGAUAUUACCAAGGAUCUAUUAUUAAUAAUACCAAAAAUAUACAUAUAUUGAAAUAAUUUAUCACUAGUAUUUAUAAAUGUAAUUGAAAAACCACUAUCUAAAUAAAUUAAUACAUCUCAAUUCUAUUGAUUAAUAUUAAAGAAAAAAAAAGAAAAAUUUUGUUGUAAAAACUUUUGUUUGCAUUGUAGAGCCUUUGUAAAUAUAAAUAUACAAGGCUAUUGUAUCAAAUUAAUUAGAUAUAAAAAAAAUUGGAAGACAAAUAUCUAAUUAUAGUAGAGACUAUGUAAUAAAAUAAUUCUAAACUUUAAUCAUUAAAUACAAAUUUCAUAUUCUAUCUUAUUUUAAACUUCAUGUACUUAUUAAAACUUCAAAUUGUAAUUUUUUAGCUCAAGUGCUCUUAGACAUUGGUGUCUUUACAUGUCUUAUAGAUAAAGACUUUGAAUCAUGAUAAAAAUUGAUACUCCCAACAAAGAUAUGAUCAGCUCUAGUUGAGGUUAUUAAUAGACAAUCACUUGAAUUUGGAGAUGUUAAAAAAGAAUCUAAUCCAUUAAAAUUGUUGUUAGAAGUUUGUAUAUUCAACUUUAUUUUUAGCUGCAUUUAAUAUUUUUCAAAUAUAAUGGUAUUUGGCCUCCUUUGAUUUAUACAAUAUAUUCUUGAUAUUGAUUAGAAAUUACAAAAGAUCACUUCAAGAUUUAAUUCAAAUGCCAAAAAAAUACCACUAUUUCUUAUUGGUAUAGUUAACAACCAAGAGUUUCUAUUAAAAGAAGUCUUAAAUUUAAGAUAAUAAAAAAUAAAUUAUCCAAUUAUAAUAUUUCUAUAUAGUCUUGAUUUUUUUUAAAAAGUAAAGAUUAGAGAAGGUUUAUUUCUCCAUAUUUGGUAUUGUAGUACUCAAUUGGGUAAGACUUUAUGAAUUUGGAGAUACUAGAUAGUACAAGUAAGCUUUGCAAUUAGGUUUUAAAGAUCUAUUUCUAUAUAUUGUUAGUGAUUGCCAAUGAUGUUGCUAAUUAUGCUUUAAAAUUGUACUUUUAAUAUGUAGAAUUAUGUAUUAAUUUAAAAAAAUUAAGAUGCAAAAAAUCACAAUUGAUACAUAUCUUGUUAUAUAGAAAGAAAUGAUUUAUCUUAGUUUAAACCAAAAUCCUACUAUUUUUUUUUUUUUUAUCAAUUUUUUUUUCAAAAGUAAAUUAUCUCCUAUUAAAUUGAAUUCUAAUAUGAAAUUUUAUUCAAUACAAAAAAUUAUAAUUAAGAUGCCUCUUUCUUUAACAUGUUUGACAAAAAAGAUAUUCAAUUCAUAUUUCAAAUAUUUUACAUCAUCCUUGUACAUGGAUUUUAUAAUUUCAUGGAUUGUAGUGGCAUUAAGAUGGUGUUAGGAUCAAUAAUGGUCACAUGCACUAGAGAAUAUUUAUGUUAAUGUCAUUUUGGUCCUUUUCUACAGUGUCUAAUUGCUUCUCUCUAAUCCUUUGCCUUAACCCUCCACUAACUCUUGCCAAGGCUCCUUUGGCUUCUGAUCGCUUUGACACUGAGUUUUGAUAUUAGCAAUAGGGUGUGCAAGCAAAGGCAUGCACAUAAAACAUCUGAAAAAAUUGCCCAAAAUUCAUCCAUGAAUGAAGAAGAAAAAUCACCAUAGUACUAGCUAGAUACCUUUUUCUAACUUGGCCCUCCUUUGACAACCUUUGUUUAUAAUAGCCAUUAAAUACCUCCGAAAAGACUAAUAAUUUUGAACAAAUUAUGUCUUCUGUUGAUCUAUAUUAAUUAAUUAAUUAAUAACCAAUUGAGAAACCACUAUAUCAAAAACAUAAACUAAUUUUAAAACAAAAGUAAAAAAGAAAAAAUGGUUAAAGCCGAAAAUCAGUACGUGGGCGCCACCGGUACUGAUUAAUAAAUGUUUCCUUGAGUCCAUCUCUUCGGCUCUGAUUCGAGGGAAAUUUUAAAAAUUAUGAUUUUGAACGAUGGAACCCAGGAAUCUGCACUAAUAUUGUGCCACAGAAUUCACACUAUUUAUAUACCGCACAAAAACCCAUGAGCAUAGUAUAUCUAUCCUGGAUUAUGUAAUCUAGCUUUUGAUUGACACCAGAUGAUUGUUUCUGGGAUUUAACCGAGUUAAGGACGGCUAAUUAAAUAUCACCAGCGCGUGUUUAAAUUAAAUUUAAAUAAUAACUCAACUUCCGAACGUUUCUCGGCUUGCCAAGUCCAUGUUUGACAACGUGAAGGUUGUGUGCUGCUGCACACUGAAAUUGCUGGGUAAACGUUACACGAUGAGAAUUCAAAUGUGAUGGAAUCCACUUCCUUUCUAACAAUGACGAAGCGUUCGAUGAGCUUGGUUCUUUGAUGAGUAAAAUAAUAAUAAAAAUAUCAUCUAUUAUUCAGUCUGAACGUCUUUGAAGAACUUUUUAUUAUUUUUGAAAGUCAUUUUCGAACAGCCCAAAAGCGGCCGAGCCACAUCGCCCGAGGGUGCACCGCGGAACGGUUGAGGCCUCUAAGGUUGAAUGUGAGAAAAUGGGCCAAGAAUCUUCCGUUUAAAGACAGAUCUGCUUUGCUGCCAGCUUAAUUUUGUAGUUCAGUUCACGACUUGCCUUGGAAAGUAUAGAAGCGUCGACGCCAUUGCAACGACUUCAACAACGGCAAAUGUUGGGGCGAUAUUAAGGCCGGUGGAAGGUUUGUCGGAGAAGAUUCGAUGCCCAAAUUACAUUAGUGCACGACCCAAUGCUCACACCACCCCCUCUGCUAAAUACAGUGCAGCCUCUAAUCCACGGCAUUCCCGAUUCAGAGGCAUUAUUGAGCAGUCCAAUUCAAACCCAACGGCAAACUAUGGUGGAUGGAAGCAGCGGACUCCACUUAAAAACAACGUCGCACAGACUGCAUCCAAUUUAUCACCGACACUGCGCGAGCGCCUUGACUCCACGUUCGUUGCUUCUUGUGCAGACUCCGGAACAAAAACCCACAGCGAUCCACCACCCACCAACCCACCAACCCACCCAAGCUCCGAGUGAAAGAGCACACAAUAAUGCGGAGUGCCAGGCAACGAUCUCGAAAAAGUGUAGCGCCCAAGCUGCACUGUAAAUAGCCUCAUUCCCCACAGUUUGCGCCUCUCUACGUUUGGAUGACAAGUACUGUAUCCGGAUCAAUGAUUUUAUUACAGAACACGGACAAAUUAUUAAUAGUUUGGCCUAUGUUGUCUGAUUCGGGAUUGUAGGGAGUCACCAGCGGAAUCCAACACUACGGCACUCCGUGGCGCGACCUGCGGCGCUCGCUCCUCUAGAUUCCUGUCAGUAACAAUGCUUGGCGUCCGUGUGAACCAUCUCCCACACUCGUCCCUCAAACUUGUGGGAUAAAUACCAUCCUGGGGUCCUAAUUCACUGGGUGAUAUUUGCGUGUAUCCUUUCAUUGUAUAUUUUUAUUUCAAAUAUUGCAGUGGAGACUGCAAGUGCUGGACACCAUUGUGUGUGUGGUAACUAGACUCUCACUAAAGUGAGGUCCUAGUUUUGAAUUGUGGCGCUAGUGGAAAUGAAGCACCCUUUUCUUUGCUGUUGUUUACCAUGAUAAACAGAUUGGAUUUUCCCAAAUUAUUGAUUUUGAUGCACGUGUAUUGCAAAUGUUUUUCAUACUUAAAAGGAAUGAAUUUUAGGGUAGUUUCUUAGGUGUGAACUUUGAGCACCUCCUCUUGCUCUAGAGUAAAUAAAUGUAAAUAAAUAAAAACAUGUAAUUCUAUCACAUUCUUGCUCCAAAGACUUUGAAUUCAUUAGAUGAAAUCUGGUAUUCAGUAAAAGUAUAUAACAUGUUUUUUGUAAGUCAUGUUUGGAAAGUUUAGUAAGGGUUUAGAGGAAAGGGUUUUCACUUUCUGUUACAGUCAAUAGUUUAUUCAGAUGUUACAGAAGAUGAAAUGAAACACAACGAUCAAAUGGAAGCUUGUGGAGAUUAUUUAAUUGUACUUGUACUGAAAGACUGUGCUAAUAUCACAACAUAAUAAUGAACAAAGGGAUUAUUGAUUGCCCUUUUCAAGGAUAGUGAGAGCAUCUUAAAGAAAAUGAUUCCUCCAAAAAGUUCUUUGCAACUGUUGGAUCUUUAGUCACACUCAUUAAGUACAGACAUAAUCAGGAAACCAUAUUUAAUUCUGAUUUAUAGAUGAGAGUGAAUCAAAUGUUAGACAGGAGAUACCAAAUCUGUCAAUGGAAAAUUCUAAAAGUUGAUUAAUGAGAAUAAAUCAUGAUUCCAGUUUGAACAACAAAAAUCAAAUUAACAUUAUUUCUUAUUUAUAUAUUAACCAAAAAUUUAAUAAAAUUUUGGACUUAUUCACCAAGUGUAGACACAAAGUGGGCUCAAAUGUGUCUUUCAAACUAUUCUCUUACAAUUUUUCCAGUUUCAUUUUGAUUAAUCCUUUUUCAAAGAUGUUUGCUUUUUUAAAUCCCCAUUAAUCUUUCAAUUUGCUCAUUCAACACAUCUUAUUCUGUAGACUCUUCCGACUGUGCAAAAGUCUUCUUCUGCAGUCUUCAUUUGUGAAGCUUUUUGGGCUUAGUUUCAAUAUCCUCAUGUUAAAGUGAACCAAAUUUCAGAAAUUGUUUUUUGAUGCCUCAUAUGUGUGUGUGUAUAUAUAUAUAUAUAUAUAUAUGCACACAUAGACAUGUUCCCAAUAAAGACAAGGUUUAGCAUGAUUGUAAAACUUGGGAAAAAAAAAUUAAUUUUUUUUUUCAUUCUAUUUAGUUUGCAAGUCAUUCUUGGGACUGUGUCAAUGGCAGUUUUCUCCCACCCUAAAGCAUGAAAAUUUCUUGGUCUUGACCUGCAUAAAGUCCUAGUCUAUUUCACUUCAUUUAGUGGACAGUGUGGCUAUUCAUUAAUUCUUUCAAUUAUCUCAAACUUGAAAUGCCACUGAGCAUGUGUGAUAAGAAAGGCAGGAGCUAUGGACAAUAUAUCCAGAAAUUUUCAAGUUCUGGUGCCUUAUGUUUUCUUAGAGGACCUUGGGGAGAAAUUAUGGAUGGAAUGUGGAGUAAGGUAACAAACCAUUUCUCAGAACUUAAGCAUUUUAGCAUAUAUCUAAUAGAUGUAGAAAUAGAAAAAAAUUACCCUCAUGUGGGAAAAUAGAAAUCAAAAGGAUUCCAAGUGUUUUCACACAAUAUGGUUCAAAAAAAAUAUUGAUAUGAAUAUUAGGGCUUUAGAUUCUCAUCAACCCAUUGGGAACAUGUAUGCCUACCUAAUUUUGAUGAGUGGUAGGUUACAAAACCAAGAAUCCAAUUUUAAUAAAACAAUGAUGUGUGGCACUUAGUAAUGAUAUCAUGAGAAGUGUGGCAUCUAAUUAUACUAUUAGUUUAUCCCAACCAAUUAACAACUACCAUCUAUUAAUAGUUAAUAUGUAUCUAUUCUAAGUACAAUGAAUUUUAUUUAUUGCUCAUAGCUUAACAUUAUUUUAACCACCCUGUGACCUAUUUUUGAUCCAUAAAAUGUUAGAUCUAGUGGUCAAACUUUUGGAAUCAAGUAGGCCUAUAUGUUGGAAAUGGAGGAGGUGGUCAAUAAUGGAUUGGCUACCUUAAUGCCAUAUGAGUCUAUCUAAAAAUAAACUCCAAGAUUUGUAAGUGAUCACAAAAUAAGUGUAGUUUUUAAUUAAGUUAAAAUCUUCAAAUGUGCAUUUUUAAAAUAAUAUUAUUUCUAUGAGAAGAAAGAAAAAUUUCUAAAAGUUACUUUCAUGUUUUUUUCUUAAAAAUAUGCAAAUUUAAGGUUGUGUUAUAUGAUAAUGAUACUUUACAAUGCAAAGCCUAUAUUCUUUCUCCUCUAACAAUUGUUUUUUUUUAUCCAAUGUAAUGGUUGAUUUGGCACUUUCAAAUAGUUACAAAAGAUUUGAAAUUUAUACUCAAAAGUCUUGUAAUAAUAAUGUAUAAUGUUAUAGUAUUCUUCUAAUCACAAAAUAAGAUGAAAUUAAUUGCACAUAAAUCUAUUACAUAAUUACUAGUCUAAACAAAUUUUUUAUUUUUUAUUAUAACUUAUUUUGAUAAGAAUUGCAUUACUUUUGAUUAUGUACAAAUAGAAAAUGCAUUAUCUUUAAAGGAUCAAAUUGUAUUAAAAUAAAUAUGUUUUAUAUUACAAAUCUUUAAUUUAAUAAAAUUAUCUCCUUUGCUUUGUAAGUAAAAAAAAACUUCUUCUCAUUAGUAUAAAUAGUAAUUAUAUUUAUUUUAUAACAUAAUUAUUAUAUAAAAAAACUAUGAUUAUGUAAUAAAAAAUCUAUGAUUUCAUAAUGUAAAAUCAUCAAAGAAAUUCAUGUAACAAACAGGGAGUUGCUAAAGCAACAUCCCUAUGUUAGAGCAAGACCUCCUUGAGUUCUCUUAUCUCUUGUCCCCUACUUCCAAUCCUUACCCCCCCCCCCCUUUCCAUUCACUAUGAUGAAGAACAAAGGACACAUGGUAGAAGCAUGGACAAUAGGGAAGGAGGCAUCUGGACAGGAAUGGGGGAUAGGGCUGGAAACAACAGAUGAAAACAAGGAGAGGGGAUGGAGAAUAGACUUAAUUGAUCAUGAGAAUCCAAGGUGUGCAGUUAACAUAAUGGGAGUGUUUCUUUACCAACUCCCUAACAAAUAUUAUCCUGAUUGAUUUCUCAUUUGUCAAUACUAAAAUACAACAUACAAUGACACUUGAAGCUUCACGUUCCACUUGGCCAGAUAAUACUAGAACUAACUUAUAAAUGAAUAAACAGAAAGUGAAAAUUCAUUAAAAAGAUUAUGUGACGAACUAGUUAAUGCAAUAAACUGAAGGAGUCCAGACGCUGAUAUGGCUCAAACAGAAAUGAUACUCACCACUGAAAAAGUGCAUGAUCCUACAAAAUAAUAUCCGAAAAAGACUCCUACACUCAAAAGCGAUAGAUGGAAAUGAAGGACUUCUGCUCCGUAAACAGAAGCGAUUCACAGAGGAAAAAAACAACCCAAGAAUCAAAAUGGUAUUCUUUAAAUCAGAUCCAAUAACCAAAAAUUUAUUGAAGAUAGAGAAGUCAUCAAAAGAAUUCAAGUUUACGCCUAGAUUAAAAACUUCAAUGAUAUUUUGAUAAAUACAGCUACCUCCCCUUUAAUAGUGGCAGUGCACUACAUGCAGUGCGAUCCUAAAGAUAGAGCACAGAGGAUUCCAUCCAUAUACACUUCUCACAGUGGCUUUAUUAAAGGAUAUGUUACAAGGUUAUCAUAACUGAGUUCUUAUCUACUUCACCAGUCGCGUGCCAGAUGCAAUACACCUCACACCCGAAUCUUGGAAAAUUGGAUUAGCCUCUCGACGCUCUCGCUUUGGAAUCGUCUAAGAGUAGUGCGGAACGAAUGUGCCUACGUACCCGAACCCCAUUAUCAGGAACGCGCACGACUGCAAAAACAAGUACACGUAAAAGUGGUUCUUCCCCUGGAAAUAGAAGUCGUACACAGCGCAGAACAUCAGGAACCCUCCCGUCCACAACUCCAGUAUGUGCAACCUGCCACACCAACAUCCAACACCAUCAGCACCUCCGCACACACAUCAGCAACCCCUCUGCUCCAUCUCCCAAUACCAGCUCACACUCCACUCUCCUCAUCCCCCCGACCCGCACCCAUGCACCCACAAUCGUUUCGCCUCACCUCUCCGACAUCUUCCAUCCCCUGGCCAGCAUGUUGCUCGCCAUCCUCUGCAGCGUGUACUUCUUCCCGUACUUGGCGGACCUGUACUUCAUCAGGUUGCCCAGCUUCUCCGUCACCACCCACUCGUUCACGUUCCCGAUGUCGAACAGCCCGAUUAUCGUCGCCUUCGUCCGGUGCAGGGACAUCACGUUCUCGAACAAUAUCCAGAACACCAACAAGUGCAGAGACCUGCACCACACCCACACAACCACCUCGUCAGCCACUCGCCGCAUCACCACCACCACUAUCAACCCCCUCACUGACCCCCUGCUGCUGCUACCAUCCAUCAACCCCCGUCACCAGUCCACGGCGUCGUCCCACAUACUUGGGAGUGGUGAUCGCGUUCAGCAGCGUGAUGAUCGACGGAACGUACACCGCUCCCCAGAACGGCAGGUCCACCUCCGGAACCAACACCGACGCCGGAAUCACUACGCAGUAGAAUGUAAACGUCACAAUGUGGGCCACGAUCUUCCGCACGAAGAAGAACGCGUAGAUCAUGUGCAGCCUCUUCCACAGCCGCAGGUUCUGGUUCUUCAGGAUCGUGAACAGCACCUUCCGGAACAGGUUCGCCGGCCCGCACGACCACCUGUGCUGCUGGAACCGGAACGCCUUGAACGUGCUCGGCAGCUCGUUCUUCACCUCCAGGUCGUGAAUGUACACAAACUUCCACCCGCACAGACUGGCGCGCACCGCCAGGUCCAUGUCCUCCACCGUUGUGCGAUCGUUCCACCCUCCUGCUUCCUCCAUGGCGCGGAUUCUCCACACACCCGCGGUGCCGUUGAACCCGA
rnacentral:lncRNA from 1 species